rnacentral:tRNA from 1 species
GGAUGAAGCUCAGUUGGUAGAGUGCUUCCCUCGCAUGCACAAGGCCCUGGGUUCAAUCCCCAGCAUGAUUCA